rnacentral:rRNA from 1 species
GACGAACGCUGGCGGCGUGCUUAACACAUGCAAGUCGAACGGAAAGGCCCUGCUUUUGUGGGGUGCUCGAGUGGCGAACGGGUGAGUAACACGUGAGUAACCUGCCCUUGACUUUGGGAUAACUUCAGGAAACUGGGGCUAAUACCGGAUAGGAGCUCCUGCUGCAUGGUGGGGGUUGGAAAGUUUCGGCGGUUGGGGAUGGACUCGCGGCUUAUCAGCUUGUUGGUGAGGUAGUGGCUUACCAAGGCUUUGACGGGUAGCCGGCCUGAGAGGGUGACCGGCCACCAGGGGACUGGGACGCGGGCCAGACUCCUAAGGGAGGCAGCAGUAGGGAAUAGGGCGCAAUGGGCGAAAGCCUGACGGAGGAACGGCGCGUGAGUGAUGAAGGUCUUCGGAUCGUAAAACUCUGUUAUGAGGGAAGAACAAAUGUGUAAGUAACUAUGCACGUCUUGACGGUACCUAAUCAGAAAGCCACGGCUAACUACGUG